rnacentral:rRNA from 1 species
GUGGGCGUAGGAAAAUUGAGAGGAGCUGCUCCUAGUACGAGAGGACCGGAGUGGACGAACCUCUGGUGCACCGGUUGUCACGCCAGUGGCAUGGCCGGGUAGCUAAGUUCGGACGGGAUAACCGCUGAAAGCAUCUAAGCGGGAAGCCUCCCUCAAGAUGAGUUUUCCCAUGAAGCCCGUUGAAGACUACGACGUUGAUAGGCAAGGUGUGGAAGCGCAGUAAUGCGUGAAGCUAACUUGUACUAAUUGGCUGAUUGUCUUGACCAUAUAAUCUGAG